GCCUGUGAAGGGUGACCCGCGAGGGCACUUGGAGGUAUCAGAAGUGAGAAUGCUGACAUGAGUAGCGAUAAAGAGGGUGAGAGACCCUCUCGCCGAAAGACCAAGGGUUCCUGCGUAAAGCUAAUCUGCGCAGGGUUAGCCGGCCCCUAAGGCGAGGCAGAAAUGCGUAGUCGAUGGGAACCAGGUCAAUAUUCCUGGGCCGGGAGGUGGUGACGAAUUCCGUAUAUGGUUAGUCCUUAUUGGAUUGGACUAGCUGAGAAGGAGUUCCAGGAAAUAGCCCCUCCAUAACGACCGUACCCUAAACCGACACAGGUGGACAGGUAGAGUA
rnacentral:rRNA from 1 species